rnacentral:rRNA from 1 species
UACGUAGGGUGCGAGCGUUGUCCGGAAUUAUUGGGCGUAAAGAGCUCGUAGGCGGUUUUGUUGCGUCGGCUGUGAAAACCUGCGGCUUAACUGUGGGCUUGCAGUCGAUACGGGCAGACUUGAGUUCGGCAGGGGAGACUGGAAUUCCUGGUGUAGCGGUGAAAUGCGCAGAUAUCAGGAGGAACACCGGUGGCGAAGGCGGGUCUCUGGGCCGAUACUGACGCUGAGGAGCGAAAAGCGUGGGGGAGCGAACAGG